rnacentral:rRNA from 1 species
UACGUAGGUGGCAAGCGUUAUCCGGAAUUACUGGGCGUAAAGCGCACGCAGGCGGUCUUUUAAGUUUGCCGUGAAAGCUCCCGGCUUAACUGGGAGAGGUCGUUGAAUACUGGAAGACUUGAGGAAAUGAGAGGGGUGUAGAAUUCCCGGUGUAGUGGUGGAAUGCGUAGAUAUCGGGGGGAAUACCAGUGGCGAAAGCGGCACCCUAGCAUUUUUCUGACGCUCAUGUGCGAAAGCGUGGGGAGCGAACGGG